UAUUUUGUGUCGUCAAAAUACAUUUUCAUUAAUAAGUAUAUAUGGAAAUGUUAAAAAUCCGAUUAUUUGUUUUAACACCAAUGUUUAUUCGUCUCUUGCAGCCACCCGCUAAUGAUAAAUGUUGACAAGUUUCUUCUCGGUAACAUUUAGUCGAGUUAUCAACCGUUAUGUUACGGAGGAGCUGUAAACGCAGCCCAGUGGGAACGUUAAAUGGUCUGCUCCAGUCAAACCGAUGCCGAUGAACUGCGUUGCUACUGAAGAGGAGGGCUGGUGUGGAGAGCAGCAGGAGUGCAGUUUCCCUCCUCUGGGAUGGACAGAGUCAAUUAACCACCUCUCCAGGGCUGAUUGAGGCUUUCAGACCAACGCCACCUAGCGUUAGCUGCAGGUCAGAGGGAGGCUGGUGUGCUCUGCUUGUCCAUCAGCUCUGCAGCCAUCAUGAGCACUGGUCCAGCUUAAAGUGUGUCCCCUGUUUGAGUCUACCUCACACUUAAAAGAAAUGUGAAUGUACCCAUUUUGUAAUUGA